rnacentral:rRNA from 1 species
UACGGAGGGUGCAAGCGUUAAUCGGAAUUACUGGGCGUAAAGCGCGCGUAGGCGGUUUUUUAAGUCGGAUGUGAAAGCCCCGGGCUCAACCUGGGAACUGCAUCCGAUACUGGAAGACUAGAAUGCGGGAGAGGGAGGUAGAAUUCCAUGUGUAGCAGUGAAAUGCGUAGAUAUAUGGAGGAAUACCAGUGGCGAAGGCGGCCUCCUGGCUCGACAUUGACGCUGAGGUGCGAAAGCGUGGGGAGCAAAUGGG